rnacentral:misc_RNA from 1 species
UCCGGUUUGACACCGGCAGUCUCCCUAGAGUGCCCGGCAUAACCCGCUGGUAACUAGGGACGAGGGUUGCGCUCGUUGCGGGACUUAACCCAACACCUCACGGCACGAGCUGACGACAGCCAUGCACCACCUGUGCACGAGCCCCGAAGGGCUGCCGUGUUUCCACGACAUUCCCGUGCAUGUCAAGCCUUGGUAAGGUUCUUCGCGUCGCGUCGAAUUAAACAACAUGCUCCGCUGCUUGUGCGGGCCCCCGUCAAUUCCUUUGAGUUUCAGCCUUGCGGCCGUACUCCCCAGGCGGGGCACUUCAUGCGUUAGCGCCGGUACUCCAAGAGCAUGCUCCCCGACGGCUAGCACCCAUAGUUUACGGCGUGGACUA